UACGUAGGGGGCUAGCGUUGUCCGGAAUCAUUGGGCGUAAAGCGCGCGUAGGCGGUCCGGUAAGUCCGCUGUGAAAGUCGGGGGCUCAACCCUCGGAUGCCGGUGGAUACUGUCGGGCUUGAGUGCGGAAGAGGCGAGUGGAAUUCCUGGUGUAGCGGUGAAAUGCGCAGAUAUCAGGAGGAACACCAAUUGCGAAGGCAGCUCGCUGGGACGUAACUGACGCUGAGGCGCGAAAGCUAGGGGAGCAAACAGG
rnacentral:rRNA from 1 species